UUUUAUUUUUUAAACUUACGUUAGUUUGGAACUCCACUCUGGCAUUCUGUCAUGCUUUUUGCCAUUUUAGAAAGUAGUGUCACCACUUUCCUUUGUGUGCUUAAUGUUUUCCUUCAACUAAUUUCUUGGCUUUUAUGAAACUGCUUAUUAUUUUUAUUUUAUUCUUGCAUAGGAGGCUGAUCCAACAGAAUAAUAUCUAAUUAUAGCACCAUGAGAUGGCAGAACGGAAUGUCAUAUCUGUAGACUUUUGACAGGAAAAAUCACCAUGGUCGAUUACUUCUGCUCAUCUCAACAUCUCGUUCUCGUUCCUAAGCACGAUGUGAGAACUUGCCUUCCCGUGACCUCUCCUGGGCUCAGUGACACUCCAGUCACUGCCCCACCCCCCACCAAUACCACUUCCAAGUUUGACUUGCAUCUUACAAACCAUAUUUCUGUUUACUUUUUUUCUGCUCUGGGACAUUUUUAAUAACUUUUAGAUAACAACUUUAACAAAAAUUUAUCUCCCACCAAGAGAAGUUGUCUUUAUUCCCAAGAAGGGGAAUAACUUGCUCUUUAAGUCAGUUUUAUUACAGGUAAAUUUGUACCAGCUUUUUCCUCUACUUGUAUUAAGACCUGUCUCCAGUAGACAUUCCGAUUGAGGAUUGUGGAAAUAGCAAAUGACAUUGGUGUCUGCCCACCACUGAAGGCAAAAAGCUGGUUUAUCUAGGCCACAGGCAGAGCUUGCAGGGGAGGCAGGUAACCUCUUGGAUCACCAGAUUAUUUUGAUCAUUAUUUUGAUCUUCAGCCAGCUUUAUUGUUGUUCUGCAUUUUAAUAAACAAUACAUUUUUAUUUUAUUUUA